rnacentral:misc_RNA from 1 species
UUUUCGUAGGUGAACCUGCGGAAGGAUCAUUCAUAAUAAAGUGUUUUAUGGCACUUUUUAAAAAUCCAUAUCCACCUUGUGUGCGAUGUUAGAUCUCGUCAAUCUUGGCGAGAUUUUUAUACAUCAACUCAUUCUUUAACUAAUUUGUCUGAAAAAUAUUAUGAAUACUUAAUUCAAAAUACAACUUUCAACAACGGAUCUCUUGGCUCUC